CCCGUGUAAUACUGCCCAAAGUAAUAUAACAAACACUUGUAAAGGUGUCAUAUACUUAAAUUCUUUCAUUCUUUUCUUGGACUUGCCCUGGUCCUCAAUUGCCAUAUUGUAUAAAACAGAAGUAUGACCGUGCUUGCCUCAAAAUUUCUAGCUUGCGAGCAGACCCUUUGGCUCUGGCUGGCCUGUCUGUAUUAAAUAUUAGGUUAGCACUAUUUUCCAUCCAGCAAACUGACCUGACGUCAUUUUCGCAAGAUAGAAGAGGUGUUAAAUGGUUAUGUAACAGUGGCGUAGCC